CAAUAGCGUAUAUUAAAGUUGUUGCAGUUAAAAAGCUCGUAGUUGGAUCUCAGGGUGAGCUCAGUUGGUCGGCCUAAUUGGUCAGAACUGGCUGACUCUCCCUUGUUUCUGAAUCCCGGUCGGAGUUAAUUCUUCGUUCGUGGACUUCAGAUCGUUUACCUUGAAAAAAUUAGAGUGUUCAAAGCGGGCGUUUGCUUGAAUACAUUAGCAUGGAAUAAUGGAAUAGGACUUUGGUUUUAUUUUGUUGGUUUUGAGGACCAGAGUAAUGAUUAAUAGGGAUAGUUGGGGGCAUUCAUAUUUAAUUGUCAGAGGUGAAAUUCUUGGAUUUAUGAAAGAUGAACUUCUGCGAAAGCAUUUGCCAAGGAUGUUUUCAUUAAUCAAGAACGAAAGUUAGGGGAUCAAAGAUGAUUAGAUACCAU
rnacentral:rRNA from 1 species